GAGUAAGACAGCUUGGUCAGUUCAUCCGAGCAGGCUUGAUAAGGCUGGGUGUCAGCUUGGGCAGCAGUUUGUGAACCGUUGCACCUUUUGGGACUCUGUCUAACUCCCUUGGAGAAAUCUAAGAAUGUUUGGAUACAAUCUACACUCCCUUUGGAGGAACUGAAGCAACAUUUUUGGAGGAUAUUUUGAAGAACUCUGUACACCAGGGAGAAUGUAAAGUUUAUCAUGUUUGGGACAUAACAAUUGUUCUUUCACUUCUGAGGAAGCUCAUUGGGAAACAAGGACUUAUCACGAAACCUUGUCAAGUGAUUCAUGUAUAUUCAGUGUUUUACUAUAAUAAGUGACUUAUGUUAAUGAAGUGAUUCAAGAAGUUCCA